ensembl:snoRNA
UAGAAAAGCUUCUGAUAAAGCCUAUGUCGGUAGAGACAUCUGAGAGUAUUGAUGAAUGUCAACAGCUUAAAUGAGGAAAA